UACGAAGGGGGCGAGCGUUAUUCGGAAUCACUGGGCGUAAAGCGUGCGUAGGCGGUCUUAUAAGUUAGGAGUGAAAGCCCAGGGCUUAACCUUGGAAUUGCUCUUAAAACUGCAAGGCUAGAAUCUCGGAGAGGAUAGCGGAAUUUCCAGUGUAGCAGUGAAAUGCGUAGAUAUUGGAAGGAACACCAGUGGCGUAAGCGGCUAUCUGGACAAGUAUUGACGCUAAGGCACGAAAACAUAAAGAUCAAACAGG
rnacentral:rRNA from 1 species